rnacentral:rRNA from 1 species
ACAUGCCUACAUCAUAGCAUUAAUGCAUCGGAUCCCAUUAGAACUUUGCAGUUAAACGCACUCAUACUAGAGUAGUAUUGGGAUGGGUGACCACUCGGGAAGUCCUAGUGUUUUGCAUGCA